rnacentral:lncRNA from 1 species
CUCUGGCUUCCAAGUUGCAAGACAAAGUCCUCUUUACUCUCCCCGCUCCUCUCCUCAAGUAGAGGAAAGGAAUCUCUUUCAGUGGUUUGAGCUGCACUGCUUGGGGUUGGGAGAGGGGUGGCUCAAGCACUCCCUUGGCCACCCCAGCUGAUGUUUCACUGGGUUGUGUGUCCAAAUCCACUGGCUCCAAGCCCAGCACAGCAACAGGACUUGCCCAGGAACGGCAGUCCUUGUAGCCCAG